GACGAACGCUGGCGGCGCGCUUAACACAUGCAAGUCGAGCGAGAACCAGGGCUUCGGCCCUGGGGACAGCGGCGAACGGGUGAGUAACACGUGGAUAACCUGCCCUCGGCACCGGGAUAGCCCGGGGAAACCCGGAUUAAUACCGGAUGGCCCUUCCGGCUCACGAGCCGGUCGGAAAAGGUAGCUUCGGCCUCCGGCCGAGGAUGGGGCCGCGGCGGAUUAGCUUGUUGGUGGGGUAACGGCCCACCAAGGCUCCGAUCCGUAGCUGGUCUGAGAGGACGAUCAGCCACACUGGGACUGCGACACGGCCCAGACCCCUACGGGAGGCAGCAGUGGGGAAUCUUGCGCAAUGGGCGAAAGCCUGACGCAGCGACGCCGCGUGAGGGAGGAAGGCCUUCGGGUUGUAAACCUCUUUCAGGAGGGACGAAGCUACUCGGGUGAAUAGCCCAGAGGGUGACGGUACCUCCAGAAGAAGCCCCGGCUAACUACGUGCCAGCCGCCGCCGUAA
rnacentral:rRNA from 1 species